AUUGAACGCUGGCGGCAGGCCUAACACAUGCAAGUCGAACGGUAACAGGAAGCAGCUUGCUGCUUCGCUGACGAGUGGCGGACGGGUGAGUAAUGUCUGGGAAGCUGCCUGAUGGAGGGGGAUAACUACUGGAAACGGUAGCUAAUACCGCAUAAUGUCGCAAGACCAAAGAGGGGGACCUUCGGGCCUCUUGCUAUCGGAUGUGCCCAGAUGGGAUUAGCUUGUUGGUGGGGUAACGGCUCACCAAGGCGACGAUCCCUAGCUGGUCUGAGAGGAUGACCAGCCACACUGGAACUGAGACACGGUCCAGACUCCUACGGGAGGCAGCAGUGGGGAAUAUUGCACAAUGGGCGCAAGCCUGAUGCAGCCAUGCCGCGUGUAUGAAGAAGGCCUUCGGGUUGUAAAGUACUUUCAGCGGGGAGGAAGGGAGUAAAGUUAAUACCUUUGCUCAUUGACGUUACCCGCAGAAGAAGCACCGGCUAACUCCGUG
rnacentral:rRNA from 1 species